rnacentral:misc_RNA from 1 species
UGAAAAACUCUCUUUCGCCAUCUCCCGCGCUCGGCCCGAACUGGGAACGUCGGGUUCGGGCCUCGGCCCGACCAAGGUCUAAAACGGGCUUUACCGUUCUAGUUACUGGUGCUGCCGGUUUUGUGGGGACCCAUGUGUCUCUAGGCCUGAAACGCCGUGGAGACGGCGUUUUGGGGCUGGAUAAUUUUAAUCAGUAUUAUGAUGUCGGGCUGAAAAAAGCCCGACAGAGCCUUCUUGAGCGUUCUGGGAUUAUGGUAGUUAAGGGUGAUAUUAAUGAUGCUGUUUUGCUGAGGAAGCUGUUUGAUGCUGUUGCUUUUACACAUGUCAUGCAUAUGGCAGCUCAAGCUGGAGUUAGAUAUGCAAUGCAGAAUCCAGGUUCUUAUGUUCAUAGUAAUAUUGCUGGUUUUGUUAGUUUGCUUGAAGCAUGUAAAAUGGCUAAUCCACAACCUAGUAUUGUUUGGGCUUCAUCAAGUUCUGUUUAUGGAUUGAAUUCAAAAGUACCCUUUUCAGAAAAA